rnacentral:rRNA from 1 species
CAAUAGCGUAUAUUAAAGUUGUUGCGGUUAAAAAGCUCGUAGUUGGAUUUCUGUUGGGAACGACCGGUCCGCCCAUUGGGUGUGUAUCUGGCUUGUUCUCGGCAUCUUCUUGGUGAACGUUGCUGCACUUGACUGUGUGGAGCGCUACCCAGGACUUUUACUUUGAGGAAAUUAGAGUGUUUCAAGCAGGCAUAUGCCUUGAAUACAUUAGCAUGGAAUAAUAAGAUAGGACCUCGGUUCUAUUUUGUUGGUUUCUAGAGCUGAGGUAAUGAUUAAUAGGGAUAGUUGGGGGCAUUCGUAUUUAACUGUCAGAGGUGAAAUUCUUGGAUUUGUUAAAGACGGACUACUGCGAAGGCAUUUGCCAAGGAUGUUUUCAUUGA